AACAAAGAGUCUUGCUUUGGUCUUGGCUUGCUACCCGGGCCAGGCCCCUGCACUGAUGGCGACCCUUCUGCGAGAUCCCCAGCGGCACAGUAUCAGUGGAUGACCAUGUGGCGGCUUGGCUGAUGUCUCGGAGGGAUGUGUCCCGGAGGAAGGCUGCUGAAGAUGACUGAGCCCGUGCUGAGUGAACCUUCAUCGUCCUUGGACAUGGAGUCUUUGCUGACCUUUGAAGACACUGUAAGAAGCCAAUCAUCUAAGUAAGGGAAGAUGGCACAACCUGUUUCCUAAGAGAUGUGAUCACCGCAGCCACGCACUUAGUGAAAACACGAGGCACUGUGGAGAUACCAAACGACAAAACCUGAUCCUGAAAUAUCCUUCUGUUACACCUAAAACGCCGCAUGCGGAAAGCAGAACCUUCUUGGUCGGUGGCAAAGGAACUGAGGAGAGGGGGCGUUGUCUCCUGGUACCGUUAGGCGCAAAAAGCUGCGCAUGCGCACUGGAGAGACAAGCACCCCCUAGCAAACUAAAGCUUGAAAAACCUACUGAUCAGCAGGCCUGCACACGUGCAGUCCCAUGUGAGACUGCACAGAAGAUGGACAAUGAACGCGCUGUUUGUUAUUUUUCAUUUAUAUGAGGGAUCCUCUGUCUUUUUAGAAAAGCGUGAUGUGCCCCCAGAA